rnacentral:rRNA from 4 species
UCUCGGCAACGGAUAUCUCGGCUCUCGCAUCGAUGAAGAACGUAGCGAAAUGCGAUACCUGGUGUGAAUUGCAGAAUCCCGCGAACCAUCGAGUCUUUGAACGCAAGUUGCGCCCGAGGCCAUUCGGUCGAGGGCACGCCUGCCUGGGCGUCACGCAAAACACGCUC